rnacentral:rRNA from 1 species
GGUUAAGCGACUAAGCGUACACGGUGGAUGCCCUGGCAGUCAGAGGCGAUGAAGGACGUGCUAAUCUGCGAUAAGCGUCGGUAAGGUGAUAUGAACCGUUAUAACCGGCGAUUUCCGAAUGGGGAAACCCAGUGUGAUUCGUCACACUAUCAUUAACUGAAUCCAUAGGUUAAUGAGGCGAACCGGGGGAACUGAAACAUCUAAGUACCCCGAGGAAAAGAAAUCAACCGAGAUUCCCCCAGUAGCGGCGAGCGAACGGGGAGCAGCCCAGAGCCUGAAUCAGUGUGUGUGUUAGUGGAAGCGUCUGGAAAGGCGCGCGAUACAGGGUGACAGCCCCGUACACAAAAAUGCACAUACUGUGAGCUCGAUGAGUAGGGCGGGACACGUGGUAUCCUGUCUGAAUAUGGGGGGACCAUCCUCCAAGGCUAAAUACUCCUGACUGACCGAUAGUGAACCAGUACCGUGAGGGAAAGGCGAAAAGAACCCCGGCGAGGGGAGUGAAAAAGAACCUGAAACCGUGUACGUACAAGCAGUGGGAGCACAGAGCAAUCUGUGUGACUGCGUACCUUUUGUAUAAUGGGUCAGCGACUUAUAUUCUGUAGCAAGGUUAACCGAAUAGGGGAGCCGAAGGGAAACCGAGUCUUAACUGGGCGUUAAGUUGCAGGGUAUAGACCCGAAACCCGGUGAUCUAGCCAUGGGCAGGUUGAAGGUUGGGUAACACUAACUGGAGGACCGAACCGACUAAUGUUGAAAAAUUAGCGGAUGACUUGUGGCUGGGGGUGAAAGACCAAUCAAACCGGGAGAUAGCUGGUUCUCCCCGAAAGCUAUUUAGGUAGCGCCUCGUGAAUUCAUCUCCGGGGGUAGAGCACUGUUUCGGCAAGGGGGUCAUCCCGACUUACCAACCCGAUGCAAACUGCGAAUACCGGAGAAUGUUAUCACGGGAGACACACGGCGGGUGCUAACGUCCGUCGUGAAGAGGGAAACAACCCAGACCGCCAGCUAAGGUCCCAAAGUCAUGGUUAAGUGGGAAACGAUGUGGGAAGGCCCAGACAGCCAGGAUGUUGGCUUAGAAGCAGCCAUCAUUUAAAGAAAGCGUAAUAGCUCACUGGUCGAGUCGGCCUGCGCGGAAGAUGUAACGGGGCUAAACCAUGCACCGAAGCUGCGGCAGCGACGCUUAUGCGUUGUUGGGUAGGGGAGCGUUCUGUAAGCCUGUGAAGGUGUACUGUGAGGUAUGCUGGAGGUAUCAGAAGUGCGAAUGCUGACAUAAGUAACGAUAAAGCGGGUGAAAAGCCCGCUCGCCGGAAGACCAAGGGUUCCUGUCCAACGUUAAUCGGGGCAGGGUGAGUCGACCCCUAAGGCGAGGCCGAAAGGCGUAGUCGAUGGGAAACAGGUUAAUAUUCCUGUACUUGGUGUUACUGCGAAGGGGGGACGGAGAAGGCUAUGUUGGCCGGGCGACGGUUGUCCCGGUUUAAGCGUGUAGGCUGGUUUUCCAGGCAAAUCCGGAAAAUCAAGGCUGAGGCGUGAUGACGAGGCACUACGGUGCUGAAGCAACAAAUGCCCUGCUUCCAGGAAAAGCCUCUAAGCAUCAGGUAACAUCAAAUCGUACCCCAAACCGACACAGGUGGUCAGGUAGAGAAUACCAAGGCGCUUGAGAGAACUCGGGUGAAGGAACUAGGCAAAAUGGUGCCGUAACUUCGGGAGAAGGCACGCUGAUAUGUAGGUGAAGUCCCUCGCGGAUGGAGCUGAAAUCAGUCGAAGAUACCAGCUGGCUGCAACUGUUUAUUAAAAACACAGCACUGUGCAAACACGAAAGUGGACGUAUACGGUGUGACGCCUGCCCGGUGCCGGAAGGUUAAUUGAUGGGGUCAGCGCAAGCGAAGCUCUUGAUCGAAGCCCCGGUAAACGGCGGCCGUAACUAUAACGGUCCUAAGGUAGCGAAAUUCCUUGUCGGGUAAGUUCCGACCUGCACGAAUGGCGUAAUGAUGGCCAGGCUGUCUCCACCCGAGACUCAGUGAAAUUGAACUCGCUGUGAAGAUGCAGUGUACCCGCGGCAAGACGGAAAGACCCCGUGAACCUUUACUAUAGCUUGACACUGAACAUUGAGCCUUGAUGUGUAGGAUAGGUGGGAGGCUUAGAAGUGUGGACGCCAGUCUGCAUGGAGCCGACCUUGAAAUACCACCCUUUAAUGUUUGAUGUUCUAACGUUGACCCGUAAUCCGGGUUGCGGACAGUGUCUGGUGGGUAGUUUGACUGGGGCGGUCUCCUCCUAAAGAGUAACGGAGGAGCACGAAGGUUGGCUAAUCCUGGUCGGACAUCAGGAGGUUAGUGCAAUGGCAUAAGCCAGCUUGACUGCGAGCGUGACGGCGCGAGCAGGUGCGAAAGCAGGUCAUAGUGAUCCGGUGGUUCUGAAUGGAAGGGCCAUCGCUCAACGGAUAAAAGGUACUCCGGGGAUAACAGGCUGAUACCGCCCAAGAGUUCAUAUCGACGGCGGUGUUUGGCACCUCGAUGUCGGCUCAUCACAUCCUGGGGCUGAAGUAGGUCCCAAGGGUAUGGCUGUUCGCCAUUUAAAGUGGUACGCGAGCUGGGUUUAGAACGUCGUGAGACAGUUCGGUCCCUAUCUGCCGUGGGCGCUGGAGAACUGAGGGGGGCUGCUCCUAGUACGAGAGGACCGGAGUGGACGCAUCACUGGUGUUCGGGUUGUCAUGCCAAUGGCACUGCCCGGUAGCUAAAUGCGGAAGAGAUAAGUGCUGAAAGCAUCUAAGCACGAAACUUGCCCCGAGAUGAGUUCUCCCUGACUCCUUGAGAGUCCUGAAGGAACGUUGAAGACGACGACGUUGAUAGGCCGGGUGUGUAAGCGCAGCGAUGCGUUGAGCUAACCGGUACUAAUGAACCGUGAGGCUUAACCUU